UGAGAGUUUGAUCCUGGCUCAGAACGAACGCUGGCGGCAGGCUUAACACAUGCAAGUCGAACGCCCCGCAAGGGGAGCGGCAGACGGGUGAGUAACGCGUGGGAACCUACCCUUUCCCGCGGAAUAGCUCCGGGAAACUGGAAUUAAUACCGCAUACGCCCUACGGGGGAAAGAUUUAUCGGGGAAAGAUUGGCCCGCGUUGGAUUAGCUAGUUGGUGGGGUAAAGGCCUACCAAGGCGACGAUCCAUAGCUGGUCUGAGAGGAUGAUCAGCCACAUUGGGACUGAGACACGGCCCAAACUCCUACGGGAGGCAGCAGUGGGGAAUAUUGGACAAUGGGCGCAAGCCUGAUCCAGCCAUGCCGCGUGAGUGAUGGAGGCCUUAGGGUUGUAAAGCUCUUUCACCGAUGAAGAUAAUGACGGUAGUCGGAGAAGAAGCCCCGGCUAACUUCGUGCCAGCAGCCGCGGUAAUACGAAGGGGGCUAGCGUUGUUCGGAAUUACUGGGCGUAAAGCGCACGUAGGCGGAUAUUUAAGUCAGGGGUGAAAUCCCGCAGCUCAACUGCGGAACUGCCUUUGAUACUGGGUAUCUUGAGUAUGGAAGAGGUAAGUGGAAUUCCGAGUGUAGAGGUGAAAUUCGUAGAUAUUCGGAGGACACCAGUGGCGAAGCGGCUUACUGGUCCGUUACUGACGCUGAGUGCGAAAGCGUGGGGAGCAAACAGGAUUAGAUACCCUG
rnacentral:rRNA from 1 species